rnacentral:lncRNA from 1 species
CCAGUACGGUCUUACGAAUUUGAAAGUUGGUUGCUCUUUUUUUAUUAUAAUUUUCCUCUCGUGUGAACGUACAAAAAGGAAAUUAAAAGGAGAAUGUCAAAAAUGAAUUUAGUCCAAAGCUGCACUCAUCACCAUUUGAAUAUAUUUUAAUCAUGGAACGAUGAGCUUCUAGAAGCUUAAUUAAUGAAUGUGGAGUGUGGACCAUAUAGAUAAGAUUCCCAACUGUAGAUAUAAAAUUUACUGUGCUUCUUACCCUCCCCAUCUGUGCUAGCUCUGCUCUGCAUUUUUCAUGACCCCAAUAUCCUCUCGACGAUCGAUCGAUCUCAUUCACAAUAAAAACAGAGCUAGCUGGAGCCUAUAACUUAAGUUUUCUUAUCCUAUGAGUGUGUCGGUUAAUACCAU